rnacentral:rRNA from 1 species
GUGGGGAAUAUUGGACAAUGGGCGAAAGCCUGACCCAGCAACGCCGCGUGAAGGAAGAAGGUCUUCGGAUCGUAAACUUCUAUCCUUGGUGAAGAUAAUGACGGUAGCCGAGAAGGAAGCCCCGGCUAACUACGUGCCAGCAGCCGCGGUAAUACGUAGGGGGCAAGCGUUGUCCGGAAUGAUUGGGCGUAAAGGGCGCGUAGGCGGCCUGGUAAGUCUGGAGUGAAAGUCCUGCUUUUAAGGUGGGAAUUGCUUUGGAUACUGUCGGGCUUGAGUGCAGGAGAGGUAAGUGGAAUUCCCGGUGUAGCGGUGAAAUGCGUAGAGAUCGGGAGGAACACCAGUGGCGAAGGCGACUUACUGGACUGUAACUGACGCUGAGGCGCGAAAGUGUGGGGAGCAAACAGGAUUAGAAACCCCUGUAGUCC